rnacentral:rRNA from 1 species
AGUGAACGCUGGCGGUAGGCCUAACACAUGCAAGUCGAACGGCAGCACAGUAAGAGCUUGCUCUUACGGGUGGCGAGUGGCGGACGGGUGAGGAAUACAUCGGAAUCUACUUUUUCGUGGGGGAUAACGUAGGGAAACUUACGCUAAUACCGCAUACGACCUACGGGUGAAAGCAGGGGAUCUUCGGACCUUGCGCGAUUGAAUGAGCCGAUGUCGGAUUAGCUAGUUGGCGGGGUAAAGGCCCACCAAGGCGACGAUCCGUAGCUGGUCUGAGAGGAUGAUCAGCCACACUGGAACUGAGACACGGUCCAGACUCCUACGGGAGGCAGCAGUGGGGAAUAUUGGACAAUGGGCGAAAGCCUGAUCCAGCCAUGCCGCGUGGGUGAAGAAGGCCUUCGGGUUGUAAAGCCCUUUUGUUGGGAAAGAAAAGCAGCAGGUUAAUACCCCGCUGUUCUGACGGUACCCAAAGAAUAAGCACCAGCUAACUUCGUG